AAAAAAUGACAUCAUAAUGAAAUUGUCAAAAGUUUACAGUUGUUACACUGAAUCAAUAUUAUCAUAACUAAAAUUAGAAUUUUAUCAAUACAUAAAGCGAUUCAAAACUUUUUCGGUUUCCGUAAGAUAGACAGUGUUGUUUAUUACUUGAAAACCCGUAAAAACACUGAUAAAACUCGGGGAAAACUUCAUGAGAACACCAGCAAAAUUCCAACCAAACUCCGUAACGAUCUCAAUUAAACACCUAUUAACCACUAUCGUCUUUAUGUGUCACUACUGCACACAAUACUCCGAGUUUACUCCCCAUAUGCGCUGACUAUACUCCGUCGUUAUGCUGAGUUUCGGACGAGUUUCUACAGAGUUUUAUCGGUGGCACCGAAACCGCUAGGGCUUCAAAUUUUUUAUUAAUAAUUUUCGUUG